rnacentral:tRNA from 1 species
GGUGGCUCAGUAGUAGAGCACUUGUCUUGCAGGCAUGAGGCUCUGGGUUCGAUUCCUCAGCACCA